AAAAAAAAAGAGUAGAACGGUGGAAAAAAAAAUGUGGAGGACACCGAGCUGAUGCGGGGGAGGGGAGGCAGCGCCGGGAGGGCCUCCGCUGGCCCGGCGGCGGACCUUGGCGUCGGGGGAGCGGCUAGAAUCGAGUUCUUUCCGGCUUCGGCUGUUUUUUCACCUAUGAUGCGGAUUUAGAUUCCGAUACAUACAUCAUUCCCCCUUCAGGCUUGCUUGGAUACACCAUAGUCCAAUUUGACCUUUUGGAUUGGAAGGGAUUUUAGUUCAAUUUCACUGUUCGUUCGAUGGGAUUGAGAGAUCCAAUCAGCUUAGAGUGUGCCCAAACAGGCUACAGGAUUCACAGUACUGUUGUGCAACUUUACACGAUGGCAUAAAGAUUGGAAGCCAAAUCUUUGAUGGAAUCUAUGACUGUUUUGUCAUAGGCAAGCUUUGGUUAGAUCAGUUCCUUGUUCGUUUGGCCUCAUGUAUCUUCCAGGCUAGCAACUCAUAGGCGUGAAAUUCAGGCGUUCACAGCACAGUAAGUUUGUCCAUGGGCAAAAGUAUGUCUGUUCACCCAUUAUGGGACAGGUAAAUUUUGAAGAAAAAAAAAUCCUACCUUUCAUAUUCUGUUAGCUGAAAUGUUAAACUAUACACUAUUCUACUCUGGUGUAAUUUAUCCUUUAGAUUAAUUGACCAGUUAUUGUCCAUA